GGCAUUUAUAGAACAAAAGCAAGGUAAAAAGUAAGUUUCUUUCGGCUUGUGGUGUUUUCUGAAAUAAAACUGACACUUUGAUACAAAGUCAAUGUCAGAGAUUCACUCCGACGAUGUGUAAAAUUCCGUCCUUCUCCGGCAGCAUUUUGGCCUCCUGGCCGGCAGCAACGAGGCAGGACGCCAGCAACAGCAGCAGCGGCGACGGCGAUCUCGCCAUUGUUCCAACGGGCAUCAAAGUGUGAGCGCGAGUGCCCGAAGGCUUCCCAGGUAACAAGAAGUUCAAGUAAAAGUGUCCAAAUCGAGGACAGUGGACCCAUGUCAAGCUUUAUGGUGGACGUGUAAAUGUUUCCCACAGCGAGGGCAGUAGUGAUGAACGUCCCACAAAUCUGGAAUCAUGAACGGGAUCAGGCAGAAGCCACAAACCAAUCUGGAAUAAUAACACGCUUAGGAAAAGGUAACGACACGUCAAGAUGCUAAAGUGCUAAUUACCCCGAAAAGGCCAGGACGCAGCA